CCUACGGGAGGCAGCAGUGGGGAAUUUUGGACAAUGGGCGCAAGCCUGAUCCAGCCAUGCCGCGUGCAGGAUGAAGGCCUUCGGGUUGUAAACUGCUUUUGUACGGAACGAAAAGACUCUGGUUAAUACCUGGGGUCCAUGACGGUACCGUAAGAAUAAGCACCGGCUAACUACGUGCCAGCAGCCGCGGUAAUACGUAGGGUGCGAGCGUUAAUCGGAAUUACUGGGCGUAAAGCGUGCGCAGGCGGUUAUGUAAGACAGAUGUGAAAUCCCCGGGCUCAACCUGGGAACUGCAUUUGUGACUGCAUAGCUAGAGUACGGCAGAGGGGGAUGGAAUUCCGCGUGUAGCAGUGAAAUGCGUAGAUAUGCGGAGGAACACCGAUGGCGAAGGCAAUCCCCUGGGCCUGUACUGACGCUCAUGCACGAAAGCGUGGGGAGCAAACAGGAUUAGAUACCCUGGUAGUCCACGCCCUAAACGAUGUCAACUGGUUGUUGGGUCUUCACUGACUCAGUAACGAAGCUAACGCGUGAAGUUGACCGCCUGGGGAGUACGGCCGCAAGGUUGAAACGUCAAAUGAAUUGACGG
rnacentral:rRNA from 1 species